CGUGCCAAUAAUAUCUGUAGUGCAAAAUCAAGAUUUACUAUGUGUGCGGAUGACAUCAGAGAACAGCUUCAGAGAAUGGGGAAUACAUCAGAGUUGUGCUCACAACUUGGAGCAGUUCUUGGUAUGCUUGGUGACUGCAGACCACACACACUCUUUCUGUUUCGCUAAACAAAAUUGGAGAUCUUAAAUACUAUGAUGGAGAUUUGCAAGCUGCAAGAUCACAUUAUAUUCAGGCGUUGGAUGUUCGCCGCAACGCCAUCAAGCAACAGUCUGAUGGAUAGAUGCUGUUGUUAGCCAAGUGAUGUUAUUGUUAAGGGAAAGAGGAGUACUGCUUAUCCGGGAUAUUCCAGAGGAAAUCAAGACACUGAGAGUCUAUGGCGAUCAAGUCAGAAUUCAACAGGUCUUUGCUGAUUUUUUGCAUACUAUGGCAAGCUAUGCACCAUUCCCAGAAGGGUGGGUAGAAGUCCAUCUUCGACCAAGUAUGAAGCAAAUUUCUGAUGGAGUAACUAUUGUACACAUUGAGUUCAGAUUGAAGUUGAAGGGAUUGAAGGACAUUGUGAUACGCUCAAAAGCGGGAAGUUAAGGAUGCAGGUACGAACUUACAGGACGACACCUCUGCUCAUUAGGAUCUGCACGUACCAGUUUAUUGGAUUGUUUGCCCUGGCGAAGGUCUUCCUCCUGAAUUGAUCCAAGAUAUGUUCCAUAACAGUCAGUGGGUAACUCAAGCAGGUCUAGGGCUGAGCAUGUGCCGAAAAAUCUUAAAGCUUAUGAAUGGUGAAGUCCAGUAUAUCAGACAAUCAGAAAGAUGUUUUUUCCUGAUUAUCCUUGAACUACCAUUGUCCCAAAGAGAUUCAAUGAAUGUUGGAUAGGUUACCAGAUGUUAAAUUCAAUCCAAUUGUCUCUCAAAGUGCAAAACAUACAAUUAUGGGUAUGCCUCGGAGACUUAGCAUGGAACUUGGAGCAAUGUCAAGUCCUUCUAUACGGCUAAUGGGUUCCUUAGCUGUCUCUUUCACAACUGGGACUUCCACCUCUUCUUCUUCCAAAAGCUAAAUUACAGACCAAAACCAUCAAGGUUAGAUGAUAUUCUUUCCAUUUAUAAAGGGAAUUAUACUAUAUUUCCAUCGCUUUUUUAUCACCUCUUUUACUUCAAUGAAGCGACUUUAACUUGACUAGCAUUUUUUUGGUUGCGGAGCCUCCCAAAUAAUGUUGAAAAGAAGGAAAUGGAUUUUUAGCAAACUAAAAGGUGAAGAUUCAUGUUGCACUCUUGCAGGCACGAUUAUCACUCAUCUAGUUUAUUUAAACAAUCCACUUAUAUUGAUCUAUUCCUUAUUAAUAAACUCAUUUACUUUUCAUUGCAGGAAAAAUGUGUCUGGCGCCCGGAACAUGAGACGCAGCUAGCUCAAAACUUCAAGAAGAAAGCUCAGCGCUUACUAUGUUUGAAUGUUAAUGUUGUGGUGGAUUGUGUAAGUGUUUUGUGGAUGUUUGCGAGCGGUGAAGUAGUUUAAUGUUGUAGACUAACUUAGUCUAAUGUUGUAGACUAAUUUAGUGUAGAUCUAUUAGUUUAAUGUUUUGUGGAUGUUUGCAAAGGUUGUGAAGUAGUUUAAUGUUGUGUAGAUGUUUGCGAAUGUUGAAGUAGCUUAAUGUCUCUUCGGAAUGUUUGAAUGACGUUUUGACUCAACUUUGAAGUAGUUUCGAAUUGAAUUUGACG